GAUGAACGCUAGCGGCAGGCUUAACACAUGCAAGUCGAGGGGUAUAGUAGCAAUACUAGAGACCGGCGCACGGGUGCGUAACGCGUAUGCAAUCUACCUUUCACAGAGGGAUAGCCCAGAGAAAUUUGGAUUAAUACCUCAUAGUAUAGUACCUUGGCAUCAAGGAACUAUUAGAGUCACAACGGUGAAAGAUGAGCAUGCGUCCCAUUAGCUAGUUGGUAUGGUAACGGCAUACCAAGGCUACGAUGGGUAGGGGUCCUGAGAGGGAGAUCCCCCACACUGGUACUGAGACACGGACCAGACUCCUACGGGAGGCAGCAGUGAGGAAUAUUGGACAAUGGGCGCAAGCCUGAUCCAGCCAUGCCGCGUGCAGGAUGACGGUCCUAUGGAUUGUAAACUGCUUUUGCACAGGAAGAAACAACUCUACGUGUAGAGUCUUGACGGUACCGUGAGAAUAAGGAUCGGCUAACUCCGUGCCAGCAGCCGCGGUAAUACGGAGGAUCCAAGCGUUAUCCGGAAUCAUUGGGUUUAAAGGGUCCGUAGGCGGUCUUAUAAGUCAGUGGUGAAAUCUCCCCGCUCAACGGGGGAAACGGCCAUUGAUACUGUAAGACUUGAAUUAUUAGGAAGUAACUAGAAUAUGUAGUGUAGCGGUGAAAUGCUUAGAGAUUACAUGGAAUACCAAUUGCGAAGGCAGGUUACUACUAAUGGGUUGACGCUGAUGGACGAAAGCGUGGGUAGCGAACAGGAUUAGAUACCCUGGUAGUCCACGCCGUAAACGAUGGAUACUAGCUGUUGGGAGCAAUCUCAGUGGCUAAGCGAAAGUGAUAAGUAUCCCACCUGGGGAGUACGUUCGCGAGAAUG
rnacentral:rRNA from 1 species